UACGUAGGGGGGCAAGCGUUGUCCGGAUUCAUUGGGCGUAAAGAGCGUGUAGGCGGCCAGGUAGGUCGGUUGUGAAAACUGGAGGCUCAACCUUCAGAGGUCGACCGAAACCAUCUGGCUAGAGUCCGGGAGAGGAGAGUGGAACUGCGAGUGUAGAGGUGAAAUUCGUAGAUAUUCGCAAGAACACCAGUGGCGAAGGCGGCUCACUGGCCCGGUACUGACGCUGAGGUGCGAAAGCGUGGGGAGCAAACAGG
rnacentral:rRNA from 1 species